CUACGGAGGGGGCUAGCGUUGUUCGGAAUUACUGGGCGUAAAGCGUACGUAGGCGGACUGAUCAGUUGGGGGUGAAAUCCCAGGGCUUAACCCUGGAACUGCCUUCAAUACUGUCAGUCUUGAGAUUGGAAGAGGUGAGUGGAAUUCCUAGUGUAGAGGUGAAAUUCAUAGAUAUUAGGAGGAACACCAGUGGCGAAGGCGGCUCACUGGUCCAAUGCUGACGCUGAGGUACGAAAGCGUGGGGAGCAAACAGGAUUAGAAACCCUAGUAGUCC
rnacentral:rRNA from 1 species